rnacentral:rRNA from 1 species
AUUGAACGCUGGCGGCAUGCUUUACACAUGCAAGUCGAACGGCAGCACGGGUGCUUGCACUUGGUGGCGAGUGGCGGACGGGUGAGUAAUGCAUCGGAACGUGUCCUGAAGUGGGGGAUAACGCAUCGAAAGAUGUGCUAAUACCGCAUAUUCUCUGAGGAGGAAAGUAGGGGAUCGAAAGACCUUAUGCUUUUGGAGCGGCCGAUGUCUGAUUAGCUAGUUGGUAGGGUAAUGGCUUACCAAGGCGACGAUCAGUAGUUGGUCUGAGAGGACGACCAGCCACACGUGGGACUGAGACACGGCCCAGACUCCGUACGGGAGGCAGCAGUGGGAAUUUUGGACAAGUGGGCGCAAGCCUGAUCCAGCCAUGCCGCGUGAGUGAAGAA